CCUGCCGCCAUCCACGUAAGGUAUGAUUUGCCCCUCCUUGCCUUCUGCCAUGAUUGUGAGGCCUCCCCAGCCACGUGAAACUAAGGAGAGUGCAUGAGAUUAUAUAAAGACUCAGAGAAGAGAUACAGCUCCUCCCGCACCAGAGAAAUGCAGCUCCGUGAGCCCCGAUGGAGCCAGCAUGCUGCUGGGUGCUGAGGAGCAGGCAGAGGCACCCAGGAUGGCGGUCCCCAAGGAGAACGGAGGCACAGAACAACGCAUGAGGGGCCACAUGACUUAGGGCCGGGAUCGGUCACUCAGCCAGCAAAAACACUGGAAGAAAACAAAACAACUUCAGACUCUAUGCUGCAUUUCCGUAAUAUAUCUGCCCAAAGACUGGACAACAAAGGUAAAGGAGGCUGAUGAGGAAACGAAAGGAUCCGUGGUUCUUGGCUCGCUGGGUGGCUCAUCAACAAAGCCCCAGCAUCACUCCUGCAGAUGCCCUAGCCUGGCCUGGGCUGGGAUGGGCAAAAUUCACCAUGGGACUCUUGUUCAAGAGAGGGAGAUCAAAGCCAGAAACACUUACCCAGAAUGGCCAUGCAGACUAAAAUUCCAAUUCUAAAAAUACUUUUAAAAUGUAACGUACAACAAAGGAAAGCUGGAAAAAUAUUUAAAAAAGGAUGAAAGGGCAAGAAAAAUUCAACCCACGACCUCAAGGCGAUUAUAAUCUGUGUUCUGCUGCUUCCCAGAGCCGCUUCAGUCUUCAGCUCAGAGUCUACCAGACACUAAAAUGCAACUGAACACUC
rnacentral:lncRNA from 1 species